CCGCAUAGCCAUGGGGCUAGAUUAGGGCCUUUUAUAAGACAUGUAGAAUACACGUGAAACCAGUGUGGAGUGGCGCAACGAGGUGGUGAAUUGGGUACCUUGAAAAAUGUUCAAAACAACACGUUGCCAAUAUUCACUUCGAGAAAUGUCUAUCUGGAUUCUUCUGUGUGGGAGGAAAGCCGACUGUAUCAUAACAGCUUUAAGACUUUACAUUUAAGAUAUCCUGAGAAGUAGAAAACCUGACAAGCGCCCGGGUGACUCGAGAAGCACGGACAAAUGAACUAUGAUACACAGAGAAAAAAAAAACUCUUCAAGACAAGAUAGAAAGCUUCAGUUGUGCACCUGCUAUUGUGGAAUGCCCUGCAGACGAUGACAGCCACCAUUAUCCUGGUUCAAAUGUUUUGCAAGCUCUGGUGGGCAAAAGCAAAGUGAACAUCAUUUGAUGUUAUCUUGUGUGAAUGUUUGGAGGAGCACAGUUGGAAAGGAUCAGUUUCUUCACAGUUUUAGAUUAGAGCGUCUUUAGUGGCUUUUCAAUUAUUUUGCACUUUGUUUGAUUGAUGAAAAACGAAACAAAAGGAUUUUGUUGAAUAUUUGACUAUAUGUCCGACCGGUGAGUUACAUGUUUUUCUUUAUAAUCUACUGAGGUGUGGAGAUUACAUCAAAACCACAGCCAUGGCUGAAUGAACGUAAUUUAGCAUGAUGGAUUACAAAUGAACCCGCUAUAAUAUUCCUCCAAAUGUUUCUCUGAUUUGACAUAAUUGUGACAGUGUUUAAAUGCGAUAACAGAGUCAUUUUUGAUGAGAGCUUGAACACUUGAAUGUGAAGGUAUAUUUGCACAGAGUAAUUACUAUGAAUA